UAUGUCUCCUUGCUUCUAACUGUUCUCCUGUGUUUAACACAUUAUAUUUCUUUUACCUCUCAGCUCUAUCAAUCUCCCUUCACUCUCUCUUUCUCUUUCUCUCACCCCCUCUUACUUCCUCCUCUUUGCUGCUUUGCCUCUCACUUCAACUAUAAUUCCUCUGCUUCUGUCCCUCCCCUCUCUCCUGCUUUGCCACUAACUUCAAGUAUACCUCCUCUGCUUAAUACCUUUUAUUUCUCUUUUUCUUUGUACCUCUCCCUUCAACCUUUUUACCUCUUCCUUUGAAGUAAGUGUGACACACCACAGAAAUCAUUAUUUGUGGUGGAAGGGUAAUUGACCAGGCACAGGAAGACCAGAUGGGACAGCACGUCAGGAAGCAACUGGAAGCAUCAACAUACCAAAGAUCCGCACUUGGAGGUGUAUUUCUGCAAAAUGUGAGGGGGGAUGAGGAGAAUGAUCCCAAACCUCUUAAUAUUUUUCUUUUAAUGUUAACAAUCAUAAUACAUAUUCCUCGAAAAUUAUAUCUGCAAAAUUUCAUAAGGAAUAUGUAUUUUUCAGAAAAUUAUGCAGUAAAUAUGCUUUCAAGAGUGUAGAUUAUACAAGACGUACCCCACCCGAUUUUGUUUCCACAUAACUUUCAGAAAAAUGGGUACUUUUUUAAUGAAAUUUUCUACAAAUAUGUUUAGGAUGGUGUAGAUCCCGAUAAUAUCGGGACUUGCGAAAAAACCUUUCUACGAGUGGGGAGAGGAGUUACAAGAAAUUCACACAAGUCGUCUUUCUUUAUAACUUUAAAAAUGGGUAUUUUUUAGUGAAAUUUUCCACAAAUAACCUUAAGAGUGUAGAUUACGAUCAUAUGAGAAUUUAAUGUUAAAAAAAAAAAACAAUGUAAAGAAUACGCAUACCCGGUGGUCAAGGUGAGGGUUAAGCCGAAAACGGGUGGUAUGCGUAUUCUUUACCUCUGCUCGCACACAUGCAUAUUGGACACAUCAUAUAUUUACAAAAUCAAACUUGAAAUUUCGAAACAUUUGUGAUGUGUACGUGCUCACCCUUUUUCUUUACACCUCAAAUUCCAAUAUAAUCGUAAUCUACACACCCUGAAAGGUAUUUGUAGAAAAUUUCAUUAAAAAAAUAUAAUUUUUUCUGAAAGUUAUGAGAAAACAAAGUCGACUCGUGUGAAUUUUCUGAAACUCCUCUCCCCACUUCUGGGAAAUGUUUUGCACAACAAAUUCCGAUGUAAUCGAAAUCUACACUAUCUGAAGUGUGUUUGUAGGAAAUUUUAUUUUAAAAUAUUCAUUUUUCUGGAAGUUAUGAGGAAACAAAUUUGAGGAGGGAGGCACGAACAGAAAAAAAUCAAAAAGGCUACACUUAAGGAAAUUGGCAGAACAAAAUCGAAUCAGAGAAAAAGGGAAGAACGACACGAAACU